GACGAACCGUGCGAACGUUGUUCGGAAUCACUGGGCUUAAAGGGCGCGUAGGCGGGCAGUCAAGUCAGAGGUGAAAGCCCACGGCUCAACCGUGGAAGUGCCCCUGAUACUGAUUGUCUCGAGGGAGGUAGGGGCGUGCGGAACUUCCGGUGGAGCGGUGAAAUGCGUAGAUAUCGGAAGGAACACCGGUGGCGAAAGCGGCGACCUGGGUGGAUACUGACGCUGAGGUGCGAAAGCGUGGGGGAGCAAACAGG
rnacentral:rRNA from 1 species